rnacentral:rRNA from 1 species
AAUGAACGUUGGCGACGUGGAUUAGGCAUGCAAGUCGCGCGCGAAACGUAGCAAUACGUGGAGAGCGGCGUAAGGGAGAGUAAUGCAUGGUUAGCUACCCUCGGGACUGGGAUAGCGGCGGGAAACUGCCGGUAAUACCAGAUGACAUCUUCGGAUCAAACGUGUAAAUCGGCCCGAGGAGGCGACCGUGUCCUAUCAGCUAGUUGGCGGUGUAAUAGACCACCAAGGCUAAGACGGGUAUGGGGCGUGAGAGCGUGCCCCCACUCACUGGGACUGAGACACUGCCCAGACACCUACGGGUGGCUGCAGUCGGGAAUCUUCGGCAAUGGGCGCAAGCCUGACCGAGCGACGCCGCGUGCGGGAUGAAGGCCUUCGGGUUGUAAACCGCUGUCGUAGGGGAGGAAGGCUCCGUGCAGAACGGAGUUUGACCGAUCCUAGGAGGAAGGGCCGGCUAAUCUCGUGCCAGCCGCCGCCGUAAAAC